ACAGCCUAACACAUGCAACUCGAGCGGCAGCGAGUGUAGUAGCAAUACUACAUGUCGGCGAGCGGCGGACGGGUGAGUAACGCGUAAGAACCUGCCGUAUAGAUGGGGACAACCAAGGGAAACUUUGGCUAAUACCGAAUAAACUCGAGAGAGGAAAGGUGCCUGGUAACAGGUAUCGCUAUAUGAGGGGCUUGCGUCCGAUUAGCUAGUUGGUGAGGUAAGAGCUUACCAAGGCGAUGAUCGGUAACUGGUCUGAGAGGACGACCAGUCACACUGGGACUGAGACACGGCCCAG
rnacentral:rRNA from 1 species